rnacentral:lncRNA from 1 species
UAUAAUUCAGGAGUGUCAUGCCUAUAACAAAGCAUUCAUUCGCAAUUUAAAUAAGUUGGCAUACUAUCCACUCUUUACCUUAAUUUCCCAUGGGGCUUUUAGCUUCUCCAAAUUCUUGGGUGGUUGCAAGAUAGAACAGUUGUAACAGACUCACCAAUCAUUCAUCUUUUGAUAGACUAUCAAUCCGGAGGUUUUUUUAUAAGUUUUGCAAAAUAAAUGAGUUCCUUGAAUGAUUCUCUCAAUCUAUCAAUGUGUAUGAAAUCCUUACCAAAGGCAUUAUGUGAUUGCCUUUAAACCUUACCACUAAGGCUGAGAAUGGAGUUUUGGGCAUGUAUAAAGGUGGGCGUACUUACGGCACUUGUAUUGCUGAGUCAAAGCCCGGACCAUGAGGAGAUACAAAUCAUACACCUUGAUUGAGAUGUGCAAGUGUGUGGAGUAUGAGGAAUUGGUGGAAAUCCUAAUUCCAAAUAUUUUUGGUCACUCCUUUGCAUCAUGACUCUCUUUUAUUUGGUGGAUAAGAGAGAGAGGAAGAGGAAAACACAUGGGCUCUAUCUCUUAAUAAUUUUUUUUUCAUGACAAGGACUUUUUCUUUCCCGUCUAUGCCUAUUUGGCUUUUCCCUUUGGAUAUUUUUUUUCAACUAUAGCCCAUAUGUCUUGAUGAAUGGAAUUAGAGAAAUUUAAAGAGAUGUCAUGAGGACAAAAAGUAAGGAGUGAAUUUGGGGAUGCGCAAAUCUCAAGAUGAGAGUUUGGCAUUUUUAUUUGGUGGAAAGCUAAGGCACAACUCUCAGGAUAAGAGUUGGCAAAAAUUUUUGGUGGAUGGAAGGGUGCAUGUUGUGCGUGACUUCUCAGUGUAAGAGUCGGCUUUAUUUGGUGGG